rnacentral:rRNA from 1 species
CCUACGGGCGGCAGCAGUGGGGAAUAUUGGACAAUGGGCGAAAGCCUGAUCCAGCCAUGCCGCGUGUGUGAAGAAGGCCUUCGGGUUGUAAAGCACUUUCAGUGGGGAAGAAAGCCUUGGGGCUAAUACCCUCGAGGAAGGACAUCACCCACAGAAGAAGCACCGGCUAACUCCGUGCCAGCAGCCGCGGUAAUACGGAGGGUGCGAGCGUUAAUCGGAAUUACUGGGCGUAAAGCGCGCGUAGGCGGUCUGAUAAGCCGGUUGUGUAAGCCCCGGGCUCAACCUGGGAACGGCAUCCGGAACUGUCAGGCUAGAGUGCAGGAGAGGAAGGUAGAAUUCCCGGUGUAGCGGUGAAAUGCGUAGAGAUCGGGAGGAAUACCAGUGGCGAAGGCGGCCUUCUGGACUGACACUGACGCUGAGGUGCGAAAGCGUGGGUAGCAAACAGGAUUAGAUACCCUGGUAGUC